CGGGUUUACUGGACACCGUCGUUGAACUGAAUUAUUCAAAGAUGAGUUUUAUAAACACCGCCUUUGAACUGGAUUAAAUCUUUUUCCCUCUCCCGUAGUCGCACUAUACCCUACCUGACUCAUUUUGCACCUUUUGUCUCUCGAAGCUGGUUCUCGUCGUGAAGGCUUUCCACCACUGUCCUGGUUCUCGUCGAUGAUUAUACAUGCCAGGUCAUCGUAGUCCUUCACAUGCAGUCAUUGUGAAAGGUCAUUUUCCAUCACUGUUGCGCGUGGGUCCAUUUGUGUUUCAUUUUCCAAUUCUAUGCGGCAGAGGUUGUCAUUGGUUUGGAAUAUCUCCACUGUUUAGCUUUGGCACUUGAAUUUAUUGCUUGCCUCCAAUUGAGGCACCACAAGUCACUGUAGUUCAUCAGAAGAAGCACAAUGUACAUAACCAUCUAGCAAUCAUAUUAGGCAUAGUUGGAGGAGCCACACUGGCCUUUCCCUUGAUGUGUAUUUCGGUAUUGAUAUACAAGACUAAACAACAAUAUGAAGCCUCCCACACAUCAAGUUAAUCUUUUGUCAAAAAUCCGGCAUCAAAAUCUUGUGUCUUUGAAAGGAUUUUGUCAUGAAAGAAAGCAUCAGAUAUUGGUUUUUGAGUACUUGCCAUGUGAAUCCCUAACUGAUCACCUCUAUGGUACUAAUUGGUUAGACACAAAUUUAUUUAUGUCGAACUACAUCCAUUUGUAUCAUUGUAUGAUGUCUUCCAACAAUGCAAUCAGCAUGUGAGUUUUCUUUUU